CUGCUGCCUCCCGUAGGAGUCUGGGCCGUAUCUCAGUCCCAAUGUGGCCGGCCAACCUCUCAGUCCGGCUACUGAUCGUCGCCUUGGUAGGCCGUUACCCUACCAACUAGCUAAUCAGACGCGAGGCCAUCUCUCAGCGAUAAAUCUUUGGUAUCCAUGCCAUGCGACACAAAUACGUUAUGCGGUAUUAGCAGUCGUUUCCAACUGUUGUCCCCCACUGAAAGGCAGGUUCCUCACGCGUUACUCACCCCG
rnacentral:rRNA from 1 species